UACGAAGGGGGCUAGCGUUGUUCGGAAUUACUGGGCGUAAAGGGUUCGUAGGUGGUGCGGCAAGUUGGGAGUGAAAUCUCUGGGCUUAACUCAGAGGCUGCUUUCAAAACUGCCGCGCUCGAGUGCGAGAGAGGUCAGUGGAAUUGCAGGUGUAGCGGUGAAAUGCGUAGAUAUCUGCAGGAACACCCGUCGGCGAAGGCGGCUGACUGGAUCGCAACUGACACUGAGGAACGAAAGCUAAGGGGAG
rnacentral:rRNA from 1 species